UGUCUCUUCUCCAGCUUCCGAAUCAGUUUGGAAAGGACAGUUGAUAUCAGAGGUGAUAAAAUUUAAAAUCAGAAGCAGCCUGAAGAUGCUUAGUACCUGACACACAGGGAAGUACGCAGCUGAACUGCUGAAGAAGAGGCCAAGGUCAGUCACACUGCUCAUGAGAGGAGUAGUGUCCACCAUAACCCAUGCAGUCAGGGGCCAAGAACUGAUGGAGACUGCUAGCAUCAUGUGUUACUCGACCGACUGGAGGGAUGGGAAUGAUAACCAGCAGCUUUCUUGGGCAAGAAAGAAGAGGUGCUCUUCCCUAUUUAAUAAAGAGGCAGAAACUUGAAACAAAAUUGGACUAAGAUAUAUGCUUUUAGAACUUGAAUUUGCCUACAUCAGCUAAGUUUUGUCAUAGCAGAAGUGCAAAGAGGAAUGUGGGAAUGCUUUCACCAGGUUGUCUUCAUCUGGAAAAACAAAGCAAGAAAGUAAUCAAAUGUUAACCAGAAAUUGAACAUUAGCCACUUCUAUGAGUCUUCAAACAUUAACAUCUAUGGAAGGAAUACUAUAUUGCUGUGGCUUUUCCUCAGUGCAUUUGCAGGAAAUGCCAAACCGUAAUGCUCUCCAGUUAAAGACAUGAGUCCUCUGACAGAA